GGCAUGGUUGUCGUCAGCUCGUGUCGUGAGAUGUUGGGUUAAGUCCCGCAACGAGCGCAACCUCGACCUUAGUUGCCAGCAUUCAGUUGGGCACUCUAAGGUGACUGCCGGCUAAAAGUCGGAGGAAGGUGGGGAUGACGUCAAAUCAUCAUGCCCCUUAUGACCUGGGCUACACACGUGCUACAAUGGGCGGUACAAAGGGUCGCGAACCCGCGAGGGGGAGCCAAUCCCAAAAAGCCGCUCUCAGUUCGGAUUGCAGGCUGCAACUCGCCUGCAUGAAGCCGGAAUCGCUAGUAAUCGCGGAUCAGCAUGCCGCGGUGAAUACGUUCCCGGGCCUU
rnacentral:rRNA from 1 species